AGCGAACGCUGGCGGCAGGCCUAACACAUGCAAGUCGAACGAACCUUUCGGGGUUAGUGGCGGACGGGUGAGUAACACGUGGGAACGUGCCUUUAGGUUCGGAAUAACUCAGGGAAACUUGUGCUAAUACCGAAUGUUGUCUUCGGGGGAAAGAUUUAUCGCCUUUAGACGGGCCCGCGUUUGAUUAGCUAGUUGGUUGAGGUAAUGGCUCACCAAGGCGACGAUCAGUAGCUGGUCUGAGAGGAUGAUCAGCCACAUUGGGACUGAGACACGGCCCAAACUCCUACGGGAGGCAGCAGUGGGGAAUCUUGCGCAAUGGGCGAAAGCCUGACGCAGCCAUGCCGCGUGAAUGAUGAAGGUCUUAGGAUUGUAAAAUUCUUUCACCGGGGACGAUAAUGACGGUACCCGGAGAAGAAGCCCCGGCUAACUUCGUG
rnacentral:rRNA from 1 species